rnacentral:tRNA from 1 species
UUAAUAAUAGUUUAUAAAAAAUUUGAAUUUGCAAAAUUCGCGAAUACUUGUGUAUUAUUAAU